GAUGAACGCUGGCGGCAGGCCUAACACAUGCAAGUCGAGCGACAACACAAGUAGCUUUCCCCUCUGACGUUCGCCGCGCGCGGGUGAGUCACACGUGGAUAAUCUACCUAUAAGACUGGUAUCACUUCGGGAAACCGGCUCUAACACCGUAUAACAUAUGGAACCGCAUGGUUCAAUAGUGAAAGACGGUUUUGCUGUCACUUAUAGAUGGAUCCGCUCCGCAUUAGCUAGUUGGUUAGGUAACGAAUUACCAAGGCAACGAUGCGUAGCCGACCUGAGUGGGUGAUCAGCCACACUGGAACUGAGACGCGGUCCAGACCCCUACGGGAGGCAACAGAAGGGAAACUUACGCAAUGGGCGGGAGCCUGACGGAGCAACGCCGAGUGAGGGAAGAAGGUCUGCGGAUAGUAAAACUAUGUUAUUAGGGAAGAACAAAUGUGUAAGUGACGUUGCACGUCUUGAAGGUACCUAAUCAGAAAGCCACGGCUAACUACGUG
rnacentral:rRNA from 1 species